rnacentral:rRNA from 1 species
UUAAAUUGAAGAGUUUGAUCAUGGCUCAGAUUGAACGCUGGCGGCAGGACUAACACAUGCAAGUCG